UCGUGACCCUGACCAAAAYAGACCGCGCACGCGUCAUCCAGCCUGCCGGCGGCGGCACCGUUUGUCGCUCGGCCAAGUCCUCGAUAACCUCCUCUCCUCGGAGUGGRGGCUCGGGGUAAAAGAACCCRCGRCGCCUAAGGCGUCAAGGAACACUGUGCCUAGCCCGGGGRCGCGGACGGCUUGCUGGCCGCCCCCCGUGCUGCAAUGCUAUUUAAUCCACAYGACUCUCGGCAACGGAUAUCUCGGCUCUCGCAUCGAUGAAGAACGUAGCGAAAUGCGAUACCUGGUGUGAAUUGCAGAAUCCCGCGAACCAUCGAGUCUUUGAACGCAAGUUGCGCCCGAGGCCAUUCGGCCGAGGGCACGCCUGCCUGGGCGUCACGCUAAACACGCUCCCACCCCCUCAUCGGGGAGYKGGAYGCGGCAUGUGGCCYCCCGUCGCGCAAGGGGCGGUGGGCCGAAGAUAUGGYUGCCGRCGUAUCGUGYCGGAYRCAGCGCGUGGUGGGCGACCUCGCUUUACUUACCGCAGUGCRUCCGACGCGUAGCCGACGURAUGGCCUCGAAGGACCCUAUGAACGGUGCGCACGACGUCCGACC
rnacentral:misc_RNA from 1 species